rnacentral:rRNA from 1 species
UACGUAGGGUGCGAGCGUUAAUCGGAAUUACUGGGCGUAAAGCGUGCGCAGGCGGUUUUGUAAGCCAGAUGUGAAAUCCCCGGGCUCAACCUGGGAAUGGCAUUUGGGACUGCAAGGCUUGAGUGCGGCAGAGGAGACUGGAAUUCCUGGUGUAGCAGUGAAAUGCGUAGAUAUCGGGGAGGAACAUCUGUGGCGAAGGCGGCUACCUGGACCAGCACUGACACUGAGGCACGAAGCGUGGGGAGCAAACAGGA